UAGAGAGUGGUAAAAUGGAAUUACGGAGGGUUUUGAUCUCUCAGUUGUAGGUUCAAUUCCUAUUUCUCUAAGGGGUGA
rnacentral:tRNA from 1 species